UCGAUCAAGAACAGAGAACAAGGGGGAAAACCCUAGCUUCAAGAAUCAAGCAAUUGAACCUGAAAUCAAAGGAUAAUUCAAUGCAUGAACUCUAAUAUCACUCUACUGAACUCGAUUAUUGAAGUGGCAUGAAGGAAGAAGUUUCAAACACUAGGAAAUCGGAAGGCUCACAAGAUCGAGGUAAAGCCUCAACUUAAUCGGUUCGGCGACUUGGAACGAGCAUCCCUAUGUAACUCGCCUAUAAGCGCUUCCGCUACUUAUAAUAACAAACUUUUUGGUCAAAAGUAUUUUGUUGUAAUUAGUCUCUAAU